rnacentral:rRNA from 1 species
UCCGUAGGCGGGCAAUUAAGUCAGAGGUGAAAUCCCACAGCUCAACUGUGGAACUGCCUUUGAUACUGGUUGUCUUGAGUUACAGUGAAGUAGAUAGAAUAUGUAGUGUAGCGGUGAAAUGCAUAGAUAUUACAUAGAAUACCGAUCGCGAAGGCAGUCUACUAACUGUAUACUGACGCUAAUGGACGAAAGCGUGGGGAGCGAACAGGAUUAGAUACCCUGGUAGUCC